rnacentral:misc_RNA from 1 species
AUAAAGGGCAACAACUUCCAGAAUUGGCUGAACAGCAAAUGCUUGGUCCUUGCAAAAAGAGAUACAGAAAGCAUUAAGAAUGUAUGGCGAGGUUCUAACUAAGGCUAGUAAGGCGUCUACCGGAGGACAAGAGGCCUUAUUAUGCCAAAUACGUGCGCGAAAAAUUUGUUAACUACAGAGAGGUUGACGCCAAUGACACUGCUUCCCUCGACGAGCUCUUCCAUUGAGCCUACAAUCGCUCCCUCUAGUGUUCGGUUGAUGAAUCAGCCGUUAAUAAGCUAAAGCAGAUUUAUUACGGUUGAAAGCAAAAUAAGAAAAGAAAAAGUCUGCAACCCAAGUGUUUGUUGUUAUGCCCAAAUGGGUAGAUUGCUUGCUUUCUUAUGCCUUUUAAAUUUGAGUUUAUAUAGUUUCUCUCUUCCCUUUGGAUUUGUUGCAAAACAUGUGUUAAAAGGUUUAUAAUUUUUUUCUCAUAAUGGGUUAAGCUUAGUUGAUCAUUGUAGUUUGAUUAAGUGCAGUUUCUUCAUUUGAAUUAGUUUAGUCUUGCUACAUCUUUUUGAUGCUGUAAUUUUGGAUUUUUUAAGAACAUUUCAUGUUUCAAUUACUGGUGGGCUGCAACAAUUUAUGUAUUGUAUGAUAUGAAAGUUGCUAGUAGUUAUUAUGCAAUAUUAACUUCCACUUCAUUGGAACGUAG